CAUUGAGAAAGAACUUCAGAGUAUAAAGGCAUGGAACUCUCAGUGGAGGGAGGUUCCUGGCACUGUGACACCAAACCAUAAGAAGCUUGGGCAAGGAGUAGCUGAAGCUUUGAGAUGUCACUUAAAACCCAUUAAUUCUCCACCUCUAUAACUGAGGUAUUAGUCACCAGAACAACAGAGUGCCUACCAGCCAAAGGUCUCCAGGGAGAAAUGAAUUAUGGUGUUUCUGAUGAAGUCGGCCAUUGUCAUAGGAUCUCCCUCCUCAGUUCAAAAUGCUAAUCCUACAGUAAAAGCUCUGAUGAUGUCUGAAGCUAGGGAAUGAAGCCAUGCUACGAUACAGCAAUGACUCCGUUAAAACCAUCUGCUGUUGUCUGUUGACCUGGAGACAUCGUGCAAAGAAAAUGCCUGAAGAAUCAGCUGAUCUUCACCCACUAUCACACAGGAUUAGCAAGAAGAAUCUACCCACAUCUAGGGAGCAAGCCCUAGUAGACACUAGACUGGCUGACAUGUUUCUUAAACUGAGCCAUCAAGCCUCCAGCUAUGUGGGAAAAUACAGUUCUGCUGUUGAAGUCACCCAGUGCAUAGUAUGUGGUCACCACAGCCAGAGCUGGCUGGGGCAGAAUUUACUGAGCAGUUUCUCUAUGCCCACAUUGGUAUGGGUACCUCGCUCCUGGAAACCAUACUGAAGACCUGGCCACCUAGUGUGGAAACUGGACAGUUCAUGAUGGCUCCAUUUCUUCAUCAGAAUUCCUAUCAAAUGGAGACUUGUGGAUAAGGCAGAUGACAAAGCCAUCUGGCCACACUCUAUAUAAAGCCAAGCUUCUG